rnacentral:rRNA from 1 species
CCUACGGGGGGCAGCAGUGAGGAAUAUUGGUCAAUGGCCGGAAGGCUGAACCAGCCAAGCCGCGUGAGGGAGGAAGGCGCAGAGCGUCGCAGACCUCUUUUGCCGGGGGACAAAAGGCCGGACUCGUCCGGUCCUGAGGGUACCCGGAGAAAAAGCAUCGGCUAACUCCGUGCCAGCAGCCGCGGUAAUACGGAGGAUGCGAGCGUUAUCCGGAUUCAUUGGGUUUAAAGGGUGCGCAGGCGGGCCUUUAAGCCGGCGGUGAAAUCGCGGGGCUCAACCCCGCCCCGAAGUUGAAACUGGACGCCUUGAGGUCACAACAGGCAGGCGGAAUUCGUGGUGUAGCGGUGAAAUGCAUAGAUAUCACGAGGAACCCCGAUUGCGAAGGCAGCCUGCCGGGGUGCGACUGACGCUGAGGCUCGAAGGUGCGGGUAUCAAACAGGAUUAGAUACCCCGGUAGUC